GGGUAAGUCUUAUACGACCAGCUCCCUCUUAAUCCUCCAGGGCGGGAACGCAGCAAAGGUAUUGAGGUUGAGCGGUGCGAUGUAAGUAGCUUACCCCUC
rnacentral:SRP_RNA from 1 species